CACGUAGGGCGCAAGCGUUGUCCGGAAUUAUUGGGCGUAAAGAGCUCGUAGGCGGUCUGUUGCGUCCGCUGUGAAAACUCGAGGCUCAACCUCGAGACGUCGGCGGAAACCAUCUGGCUAGAGUCCGGAAGAGGAGAGUGGAAUUCCUGGUGUAAGCGGUGAAAUGCGCAGAUAUCAGGAAGAACACCCGUGGCGAAGGCGGCUCACUGGACCGGCAUUGACGCUGAGGUGCGAAAGCGUGGGGAGCAAACAGG
rnacentral:rRNA from 1 species